rnacentral:rRNA from 1 species
UUCGCCCUUAGAGUUUGAUCCUGGCUCAGGACGAACGCUGGCGGCGUGCUUAACACAUGCAAGUCGAACGGAGCGCCUAUGAAGGAGAUUUCGGUCAACGGAAUAGGUUGCUUAGUGGCGGACGGGUGAGUAACGCGUGAGGAACCUGCCUUUCAGAGGGGGACAACAGUUGGAAACGACUGCUAAUACCGCAUAACACAUAGGUGUCGCAUGGCAUUUAUGUCAAAGAUUUAUCGCUGAAAGAUGGCCUCGCGUCUGAUUAGCUAGUUGGUGAGGUAACGGCUCACCAAGGCGACGAUCAGUAGCCGGACUGAGAGGUUGGCCGGCCACAUUGGGACUGAGAUACGGCCCAGACUCCUACGGGAGGCAGCAGUGGGGAAUAUUGGACAAUGGGCGCAAGCCUGACCCAGCAACGCCGCGUGAAGGAAGAAGGCUUUCGGGUUGUAAACUUCUUUUGACAGGGAAGAGUAGAAGACGGUACCUGUCGAAUAAGCCACGGCUAACUACGUGCCAGCAGCCGCGGUAAUACGUAGGUGGCAAGCGUUGUCCGGAUUUACUGGGUGUAAAGGGCGUGUAGCCGUGUUGACAAGUCAGAUGUGAAAUCCUGCGGCUUAACCGCAGAACUGCAUUUGAAACUGUUGAUCUUGAGUACUGGAGAGGCAGACGGAAUUCCUAGUGUAGCGGUGAAAUGCGUAGAUAUAAGGAGGAACACCAGUGGCGAAAGGGGUCUGCUGGACAGCAACUGACGGUGAAGGCCGAAAACGGGGGGAGCAAACAGGAUUAGAUACCCUGGGUAGCCCACGCUGUAAACGAAGGGAAACUAAGGGUGCGGGGACUGACCCCCUGCGUGCCGCAAGCUAACGCAAUAAGUAUCCCACGUGGGGAGGACGAUCGCAAGGUUGAAACUCAAAGGAAUUGACGGGGGCCCGCACAAGCGGUGGAUUAUGUGGUUUAAUUCGAUGCAACGCGAAGAACCUUACCAGGGCUUGACAUCCUACUAACGAAGUAGAGAUACAUUAGGUACCCUUCGGGGAAGUAGAGACAGGUGGUGCAUGGUUGUCGUCAGCUCGUGUCGUGAGAUGUUGGGUUAAGUCCCGCAACGAGCGCAACCCUUAUUGUUAGUUGCUACGCAAGAGCACUCUAGCGAGACUGCCGUUGACAAAACGGAGGAAGGUGGGGACGACGUCAAAUCAUCAUGCCCCUUAUGUCCUGGGCUACACACGUAAUACAAUGGCGGCCAACAGAGGGAUGCAAAGCUGUGAAGUGGAGCGAACCCCUAAAAGCCGUCCCAGUUCAGAUUGCAGUCUGCAACUCGACUGCAUGAAGUCGGAAUCGCUAGUAAUCGCGGAUCAGCAUGCCGCGGUGAAUACGAUCCCGGGCCUUGCACUCACCGCCCGUCA